rnacentral:rRNA from 1 species
GAUGAACGCUGGCGGCGUGCUUAACACAUGCAAGUCGAGCGAAGCGAUGAAGUGAAUUUUUUCGGAAUGAAGCUUCAUUGACUUAGCGGCGGACGGGUGAGUAACGCGUGGGUAACCUGCCUCAUACAGGGGGAUAACAGUUAGAAAUGACUGCUAAUACCGCAUAAGCGCACAGAGAUGCAUGUCUCAGUGUGAAAAGCUGAGGCGGUAUGAGAUGGACCCGCGUCUGAUUAGCUAGUUGGCGGGGUAACGGCCCACCAAGGCCUCGAUCAGUAGCCGACCUGAGAGGGUGGCCGGCCACAUUGGGACUGAGACACGGCCCAA